rnacentral:rRNA from 1 species
AGAGUUUGAUCCUGGCUCAGGAUGAACGCUAGCGGCAGGCUUAACACAUGCAAGUCGAGGGGUAACGGGGAAGCUUGCUUCCGCCGACGACCGGCGCACGGGUGCGUAACGCGUAUACAAUCUACCUUAUACUGGGGUAUAGCCUUUAGAAAUGAAGAUUAAUCCCCCAUAGUCUCUUAAAGUGGCAUCUCUUUAAGAUUAAAGGUUACGGUAUGAGAUGAGUAUGCGUUCUAUUAGUUUGUUGGUGUGGUAACGGCACACCAAGACUACGAUAGAUAGGGGCCCUGAGAGGGGGAUCCCCCACACUGGUACUGAGACACGGACCAGACUCCUACGGGAGGCAGCAGUGAGGAAUAUUGGACAAUGGAGGCAACUCUGAUCCAGCCAUGCCGCGUGCAGGAUGACUGCCCUAUGGGUUGUAAACUGCUUUUAUACAGGAAGAAACACUCUCUCGUGAGGGAGCUUGACGGUACUGUAAGAAUAAGGAUCGGCUAACUCCGUGCCAGCAGCCGCGGUAAUACGGAGGAUCCAAGCGUUAUCCGGAAUCAUUGGGUUUAAAGGGUCCGUAGGUGGUUUAUUAAGUCAGAGGUGAAAUCCUAUCGCUCAACGAUAGAACUGCCUUUGAAACUGAUAGACUUGAGUUAUUGUGAAGUAGUUAGAAUAUGUAGUGUAGCGGUGAAAUGCAUAGAUAUUACAUAGAAUACCGAUUGCGAAGGCAGAUUACUAAUAAUCAACUGACACUGAUGGACGAAAGCGUGGGUAGCGAACAGGAUUAGAUACCCUGGUAGUCCACGC